UGCAGCUGAAAAUCUUGAUGACAUUCUAAACCGAAUCCAAAUACUUGAAAGAAAAAUGCAAGAGUGUUCGUGUGGAAAACUUCCAACAGUGAACGUUACCGUUUCUCCCCCACCACUUCCGGUUGGUGACCCCCUUCGCCAGAGGUUGCUGGAUGAACUGAGAAUCAGUGAUGGCGGUGAAUGUGUCAGUUACGCUCUGCGGUACUAUAGCCAAUGUUCGGAGAAAUGAUGAUCAACAGAAACAUAAAAUGUAAUGUCUUUUAUAUGUUGUCAACACAAGUUUAGUUUCUAAAGAUUUGUU